CAUUUAUAAAGAAUAAUCUUUUUUUAGAAAUC
rnacentral:tRNA from 1 species